rnacentral:rRNA from 1 species
GACGAACGCUGGCGGCGUGCUUAACACAUGCAAGUCGAGCGGCGCGGCGAACGGGUGAGUAACGCGUGAGUAACUGCCCCCCUCACUGGGCUAACAGUUGGAAACGGCUUCUUAUACCGGAUAGUGGGGGAUGACUCGCGUCCUAUCAGCUGGUUGGUGGGGUAGUGGCCUAUCAAGGCGACGACGGGUAGCCGGCCUGAGAGGGCGACCGGCCACAUUGGGCUGAGGUACGGCCCAAACGCCUACGGGGGGCAGCGGGGGGGAAUAUGGCACAAUGGGGGAAACCCUGAUGCAGCAACGCCGCGUGCGGGAUGACGGCCUUCGGGUUGUAAACCGCUUUCAGCCAUGACGCGGUAGUGGCAGAAGAAGCACCGGCUAACUCCGUGCCAGCAGCCGCGGUAAUAC